rnacentral:misc_RNA from 1 species
UGACAACCCUGUCAACUAUCGUCUAUCUCCUUUCAAAAAUGGUAGCAAAACGUUCGUCCUGAGAGUUCUCGUAAUUUUAUGUUUGGUUUAUCUAAGAAAAUUAUGUACUAAAAGUGAAUAGUGUCGUGAAUGUAUAGAUUAAAAGCCUCCAAUUAAUAUUCGAAUUAUAAAAUGAGUACGGAAGUCGCCCCAAACAACAUAGAAACGGAAUUCUUGGAACUGAAUUCGAAAGAUGACUGGCCCGCGUUUUAUCAGAAAAUAAGAGCAAAAAGUAUAAAAUUAGCUGGGCCUUGCUUAGAGGCCCUCAAACCUCAAAAUAAAAAUUUAAACAGAUAUAGAGAUGUCCAUCCAUAUGACCAUAGUAGAAUCAUUCUGCAGAGGGGUUCUACUGAUUAUAUCAAUGCCAAUCUUUGUAAGGUGGAAAAAGCCAAUAGAAAAUACAUAUUAACACAGGGUCCUCUUUCAAACACAGUAAGCCAUUUUUGGCUGAUGAUAUGGGAGCAACAGAGCAAAGCUGUGUUAAUGUUAAACAAACUAAUAGAAAAAAGAGCAGAGAAAUGUUUUCAGUAUUGGCCCUCAAAUGUUGGUAGCAAAAUGACAUUUAAUGAUGUUGGUCUAAGCCUUGAGUACUUGGAGCAGCAAGAUCAUUCAUAUUAUCUGACCAGGAUUUUGAGAUUGACAGAUAUUGAAAGUGGCCACCAUAGAGACAUCCUACAAUUCCAUUACAUAACCUGGCCUGAUUUUGGGGUACCUUGUUCGCCUACGAAAUUUUUAGAUUUUCUAAAAAAAGUUAGGAAAGCAGGAGUAUUAGAGGAUAAUGUUGGACCUCCAGUUGUCCACUGUUCCGCUGGUAUAGGAAGGUCGGGUACAUUUUGUUUGGUUGACUCUUGCCUAGUUCUUAUUGAAAAAUAUGGCCUAAAUUCUGUGAACGUUGAAGAAAUACUGCUAGAAUUAAGGAAAUACCGGACCGGACUAAUACAGACGGCGGAACAAUUACGUUUCUCAUAUCAGGCAAUAAUUGAGGGCGCAAAACAACUUUUAAAUCAUGUAUCUGAUGAUGAUGAGAGUUCUGAAGGGAAGCCAAACAACCACCUGAUCCAAGAUGGCGGUGAGUUAAUAGAGGAGGCCAAUACUUCGUCGGAAGAGGACGAAAUAGAACCGCCCCCUCUUCCUCCGCCGCGCAUUGACAGUCUUGCAGCAUCCGCGGCCUCCCAACAAAAUGGUCUUGCUGAUAAGCCACUGCCAACUAUACCACAGAGCGUUUCGUAUAAUGAUUUCACUUAUAAAGGAAACGGUGAUGAAAAUGGUGAAGAGAGACAAGUACCAAGUGGUCCCCUUCCAAAUGUUCCUACUUUAGAGGAAGGCAGUAGUGAGGAUUCCCUGGAGGAAGAAAGUGACGCGGAUGAGGAGGACGAACCAGAUGAAGAAGAUCCCAGAGUCGAGAGUCCGAGCAGUGAUGAUGGGAAGUCAAAGAAAUUGCCUAGGCAGCCUAAAAAUUCUUUAUGUAAGUGGAAUAGAAAAAAUUCUGCGGAAAUUCGUCACAGACGUCGCGUCGAACGCAAGAAUCAACUGGAAAAGCAAGUGAGAGACAUGAAGAGAAGACAACAGUCGACAGAGCAAUGGCAACAGCUGAAGAGGUCUCUAUACGUUCCCCUAUUGGUCGGAGGUGCCGCCAUUUUAUUGGGCGGCGGCCUCGCAGCCUACUUCUAUAUCAAUAAAGAAUAAACAAUCAACGAAAAUAUUUUCGGAUCGGGUUUAGGUCGCACUGGUUGGGACAGGGUGAUUCGUCAUUUCACAGUGAAACAUAAUAUGAAUGUUUCACUGUAAUGAAACACCCUAUAUGUUUGGCUCAUAGAUUAUAUAUUAAUAUUUUUUAAAUUACUUAAAGCAGUUUGGUCGGUUUCAAGAUUAGUCGUCUGCUGACGGUUUUUCUUCCGUAUGUUGUUUGUUGAUGAGAAAAAUUGGUUAUGUGACGUCACGUGGAGAAAUUAUGACGUUUCAUAUAUAUUGUAUAUUUUUUUUAUAGUUUAUUUACUAGUUAUGACUGCAUUUAUUAAUAAACACGACAGUUUUUUAUACAACUUACAUAUCCAAAAAAAAAAGUUGAGUUCCUCAAAACAAUUUUUGCAAGCAAAAUAUUUAUUUUUCAUUAAUAUAUUUAUUUGUAGCAAAUGUUUAGACAAUUAGAGAUUAAAAAUUUGAGAACGUUUGGAUUGCUAGAAAAAGACUGAUACCAAUGACAGUUUUUAAAAUUCCGGUUUUUAUUGGACGAAAUCUCUGUUCGUUGUGAUACUAAAUUAAAAAGAGAAAUGGAAUAAUGGAGUGGGAAAUUCAAGCUGGAACGUGUAUAUAUUCAUAAUAAUCGUUAGGAAAACGUAUAAGACUUAAUGUGUAGUUUUUAGAAAACACUUGGGGAUGAAAGUUCGCGUUUUUUUCUGGUACAAAUUUUGUAAAUAACAUACAGCCCCAAUAUUUUUUAUCCAGACUUUUCAAAAUCAAACGCUUAAUAAUUUGUAAGUUCAUCCCUCAAGCAACCCUUUAGAUUUCAAUACAAUAUUAUCACUGAAGUAGCUAUAGUUGUAAUGUCCAUUGUCAUUUAAUUUUUUCAUAAAAAUGAAUCGAAAGUUACAGGGUCUUUUUGGAUUUAUAAAAAAAAAUACGAUAAAAAUAUCAUUGCACGAGACAAGUUGGUAUACUGCUAAAUAGGAAUAAAGUAUUUAGAAGACACUUACAUCUUAUCAGGCAAGUGAUUAAGGUAAGAAAAUUAAAAAUUUAUUUCUAUUACAUUUCAUAUCAAAAAUAUGUGUUACUCUUUGAAUAUCCUGCAAUGCCUAACUCUUAAAUGCAUCGUUUCUUCUUUUUUAUCAAAUAAUAAAAUUAUGUAAUAGAUGUACCGGGUGGCCAAAUAAGCGUGGUAAGCGGCUGUAUCUCAGGACCUGUACAUCUGGCAACAAUGGAAUUUUUUUUAUUAUUAUAAAAGUGGCCAUGAGAAAAUUCUGGAAAUUAUUUUUAAGUUCCGUAUUUCACCGCAAGAGGGCGCAACUAAAAAUUAAAUAAAAGAAACGUCUUUUUCUCCGAAAACUUAAACAUUAACUUAUACUUUUGAUAUUAUUUUUAGUAAACCUAGAUAAUUUUCUAUAAUUUUGGUUUAUGAAUUAUUGACGUACGAACGAUAGUAGGGGUGGGGGAAGCUAUUGAAAGUGGAAUCAUUAAAAUCGGUGUAAAUUCUAAACCACUUAUUCGAUUUGAGCAAUUCAAAAUUUAUUUGCAAGAUAAAUAUAGCUGCUUUAAAAGUCUGAUCUCAUCACUACCGUGUAGUUCCUAAUAAAACCGCCAGAGGGCACAAUUUGUAAUAAUUCCAGUUUUUUUCAUUUGGCUCCAAAAAUUCAAAUUAAAUGGUAUAUUUUUGACAUCCUAUUUAAAAAGUAAAUAAAAUUUGCAAAAGUACUGUGAAAACCGCACGAUGAUAUAUUUGCUCGUUUUAAAGUUAUAGCGAAUUAAAGUUUUUUACGCACCGAGCUUAAACUUACGUACCGCCAUCUAGUGUCUCGCCUAAAAAUCUCUAAUUAGUAUUACCACAACUAGGAUACCAUGAUGUUGUCAUAAUUAAUAAAUUAUGAAAGUAAUAAUUGAUUGAUAAAUUAUAAAUUAAUAAUACCUAUGUAUCACAGAAUGACUGGAAGUUUAUGUGACUUUCUUAAGGCGAAUAAUUUUAUUAACGAAUUUCUUUUUAUAUUUAAAUUAUGGUCCUGAAAAGAACCGAUUUUAAACCCAAACAUAUUUGGUAUUUAAUGCCUCGAUAGGUGUUCAAACCUGCUUUCCAUCACAUUCCAAAUAAGCUUCCAACCUUCUUGGGGUGGAUAAAACUGCUGUUUCGAUUUCAGCAGCUGAUAUUUCAUUUAUUGCACCACGGAUUCUGUUUUCCAUAUCCUGUCUUGUUGUAGGUGGAGUUUGGUACACAAUAUCUUUUAAACGACCCCAUAAGUAAAAGUCUAGGCAUGUCAAGUCGGGUGACCUGGCCGGCCAAGGAUAUAGACUCCCCCUUCCGAUCCAGCGCCCUUGAAAGUAAUUAUUUAUAUGAUGCCGCACCAAACGGGAAAAAUGUGCUGGGCACCCGUCCAAUUGGAAAUACAUGGUCCGUCUUACUUCCAAUGUCAAAUCUUCCAUUAAAAUAGGCAAGGAAUUUGCUAAAAAUUGCAAAAAAACAUUACCGGUUAAUGUGCCAUCAAAAAAAUAAGGACCAAUAAUUUUCAUUCCGAUAAUGCCACACCACACGUUUACACUCCAUCGGCCUUGGUGCUGGACUUCUCGCAUCCAACGAGGAUUUUCAACCGACCAAUAAUGCAUAUUUUGCCUGUUGACUUUCCCAUCCCUACAAAAAGUGGCUUCAUCGGUCCACAGAAUCUGUGACAAAAAAUCCCUGUUUUCGCGAAUCAUUGCUAGUAUCCAUUGGCAAAAAUCAAUUCGGGGCUCAAAAUCAUGUUCGUUUAGAGCUUGGUGUAGGAUUAUAUGAAAAGGGUGUAGCCUUAAAAUAAAAAGAAAUGCCUAUAUUCGAGAAGAAAAUUAUAAUAAAAAGAUGUAUUACCUGUGGUCUUUAAGUAUAUUUUGAACAGUAGUUCGAGCUAUUCCCAAAUCUAAAGAUAACGCACGAGUUCCAAUAUGCCUAUUAAACUCUACGUAGGCCAACACAUUAAUAAUGUUUUCUUCAGUUCUGCAGUAGAGCGACGCCUUCUAAAUUUGGGCUGACUAAAACUCCCAGUAUCGCGUAGUCGCUGUACCAACCGUGGAAAAAUUCUUCUGCCAUAAUGGCGGCGAUCUGGCUAGCGAAGGGCAUACUGUCUUUCAGCUAUUGCUGCAUUUUGAAAGCACUCAAAGAAAACCGCAAUCAAAUCCACAGCUUCAUUAUUUGUUAAAGGCAUUUUACAAAAAAUCGAGCAAAGAAAAUUGAAAACAGAUUUAAACUGGCCGUCUAAUAAAUAUUUGACGUUUCCAUACAAUGCUUUUUAAAAGUUUCUUUUGUUUUUGCCGCCUACUAUACGUUAACUAGACAUUCUAAGGCCGAGCGCUAGAUGACGGUAUAUAAGUUUGGACUCGGUGCGUAAAAGACUUUAAUUCGCUAGAACUUUUAAACAAGCAAAGAUAUCAUCGUGCGGUUUUCACAGUAUUUUUGCAAAUUUUAUCUACUUUUUAAAUAUGAUGUCAAAAAUCUACCAUUCGAUUUGCAUUUUUGGAGCAAAAUGAAAAAAACUUGAAUUAUUACAAAUUGCGCCGUCUGGCGGUUUUAUUAGGAAUUAUAGGGUAGUGAUGAAUUUACACCGAUUUUAAUGAUUCCACUUUCAAUAGCUUCCCCCACCCCUACUAUCGUUCGUACGUCAAUGAUUCAUAAAACCAAAAUUAUAGCAAAUUAUCUAGGCUUACUAAAAAUAAUAUCAAAAGUAUAAGUUAAUACUUAAGUUUUCGGAGAAAAAGACGUUUCUUUUAUUUAAUUUUUAGUUGCGCCCUCUUGCGGUGAAAUACGGAACUUAAAAAUAAUUUCCAGAAUUUUCUCACAGCCACGUUUAUAAUCAUAAAAAAAAUUCCAUUGUUGCCAGAUGUACAGGUUCUGAGAUACAGCCGCUUACCUCGCUUAUUUGGCCACCCUGUACUAUAUAUUAUAGAAAAAAUAUCGACACUUUUUUUAUAAUUUUAUCACAAAAAAAAGGUUUCCUUCUCAUUUGGCACCCUAUGCAAAAUAUAGUUAGUUGUGAAAAUGUUUGGAUAACUUACUUAAAACAUAUUAUCUUUACGUUUUUCUAUGACACAACUGAAUACGGAAUUUCUUAGACUAAGUGCAAGUAGAACUGCUUCAGUAUUUUUUUUAUCUCUGCUUCUAGAUUACUCGAUUUAUCGUCUUUGUAAAGCGAUAUUUGAUCACUCAGAUGCUGAAAAGCUUGAGCUUGAUUCAAAAUUUUGCUACUUUGUGCCCACGGUUGUUUACCGCAAAUAAUCAGAUGGAAAAAGUAGCCGAAGAAUUAAUUCAUUCAAAUAACAGAAAAAUGAAUGGCUCAAAAAUUAAACUAUCCAAAUGGACUUAAAUGAGCCUUAAUAACGGGAUUCUUCUAAUCAUGCUCAAAAAUGUUAAAAUACACCGAUGAGAUAUUUUUUCUGAAAUAUAAUCCUAUUACUUGUCUAAUAAGUUGGCAUAUAGUCGCAUUAUUAUUACAAUCGACUCGUAAUCAGAAGUUUUUGAAUGAUAAUAUGAGAUAUAAUAGAUUUGUUUAUAUACCCAGGAUCUGCAGUUUUAUAUAUUGACCUUUCGAGCUCGUUACUUCUUUUCGAUAUCCUACCUAGCUUUAUCUUUUUUAUUGAAAUGGAAAUGAACGGAAAAAUGUAUCGUUAAAGAUUUAAAUUAAUAUUUCUUCUAAAUACGCAUAUACAGUCGUGACAAAAAGUUAGAGCACCUUUAAAUUUAUUAUUCCAAUUAAUAUAGCUUAAAUCCAAUUUUGUAAAAUACCCAUUAUUUUUUAUAAUUUUUCGGCAUUGACGUAACGGCAUUUUCUCCUCAGCAUACGGCACUAUAAAUUCUUCUGAUAUUUGCUUAUACUGGAACCUGUUCGUAAUACCUUCAAUCUUGUGGAGGGACCCCAUACCAUAGUUGGAGAAACACCCCCAAACGAUAACGUUACCACCUCCUUGUUUUAUUGUGGUGCGGGUGUACGCGGGAUUCAGCCUUUCAUUGAUAGGCCAUCUUACGUAAUUUAUACCAUCACUCUGGAAUAAACUGAAUUUGGAUUCGUCGCUCCAUAUGAUUCUUUUCCACUCGGAAUCCGACCAGUGCCCCUCAAUCCCAAUCUCAACUUACCUCAAUCCCCAUAGUUUCCGAAAUACGAGGCCGGAUUUUAUUAGAGCCAAUAAAGGGGUCAUUUUUGGCAAUCCUUAAUAUUGCUUUAUCUUGUAAUAAAGUUGUUUUUCUUGUUCUCCCAGACUUUUUCUUUUCAGAUACCUCUCCCGUUUCGUGAAAUCUCUUUAGAAUACGGGAAAUAAUACUUUUGUUUAAGGAAAAUUUUCUAGCGACAUUAGCCGGGUUAUCCCCGUUUAAAAAAAAAAAACAAUGCGGUUUUUAAUAUCCAUUGAUAGACAUUUGCCACGAGACAUGUUGCUAUUGCUAUUCGAUAAAAUCUUCACUAUUUGCGGUUUUAACAUUAAAUGAGUUAAAGCGUGUCAUAAAAAUUCCAAAGUUGCCCACUUUUUUCCCGCCUAGAAAAUAGUUGGCAUAAAAAAAACACAAAAUAAUAUAAAUUGGAAUAUGUUUUUAUCAAAUUAUAUUUGUCCACGGCGUCUGCUUAGAUAGAAGAAAUAUCUGUGAUAUUAUAUUAAAUAUACGGAAAUUAUUGGGGUUUUUAAAAAGUUGCGCUACUCUUUGCCACUACUUUAAGUAUAUAUUUUUCUUUUUUUCAAUAAUUGAGCAUAUGACACACUAUUUCCUAGUUUCAAUGUAAAUUUAAAUUAGUCUGAAUUUCUUUUUUAUCUUUUUAAAUUGCUUCUUUUUAAUUUAAAUUUCUAUUCUUCGAUGGUUCGAAGGCUUAUUCGCAUAAACAUGUGACUUGAUACCCUGUGUGACUGAUAACACCACAGUCACAUGUCAUCAAGAUCAAAAUACUGCAUUACCUUUUUUGUUUUCGAACAAAAACUGUCCAAUUAUUCCUCCAGAUUCUAAUAUACACCAUACAGUGACACGUUUUGGAUGCAUGGGCUUCUGAUGAAUCAUUCGCAGAUUUUCCAAUUCGUAAAGCCCCAAAUGCGACAGUUUUGCGUAUUACCGAAGCCAUUGUAAAAAUGAGCGUCAUGAAUAAAAAUCUUUUUUAUUUGCAAAAUCGGUGGGUUGAUCAAGGAAAUAAUUGGUGAAUUCUCUUCACUGUGCUGGUCUGUUGGCAAAAAAUGUUGAGUUAGUUGGAUUUUGAAGGCAUGCAGUUGUAAAUCUUUAGUAAGAAUUCGCUGGAGAGUGCCUGUUGAAAAGGGUUUAGGCCUAUUUUCCGUAUCUAGCUUGUUUUUACAGUGAAAUACAUGUGACCAAAAAGAGGCAAAAUUGAGAUUAGUUUUUUUUUUUUUUCAAACAAUCAACUUUUUUGGAACUAUCUCUACUUUACAUAUAAUUUCUGUAAGAAUAAGUUACAGUGAUUAAAAUAUUCGGCUCUAAGAAUAGACAAUCAUUUUUGCUAAAAAUAGGCCAGACAUUUUAAGAAACUUAUGCGCCACCCUUUACACGAAGUUAAUUGGUAUAAAAAGAAUGGUCUAUUGAUGCGUUUUCAUCUUCAGUCAUUCUGAAAGAAUUCUUCAUCUUUUUCAUCUCAGUGAGUCUUUCAUUCUUCAUCUUUCAGUGCAUUUGAAAUUCGGUAUUUGAAGCCACACAAGAGAUGUCCAAAGGUGAAGUUGAAUAUUAAUGUUAAAACUUUUUAUUUAGCGACGUUAAUCUAAAGAGGUCACUGUUUUGUUUUUAAACCAGGGAUAACCUUCUGUGCAUUUUAAGUGUCGGGAUAUAAUUUGGUAUUUUGAGUUGUCCUUCGAAACAAUCAUUAUUUUGUUUAUCCAUCGAAAAUAUUGGAAACAACUUCAAACCUUUAGGUUAUUCUUUUGAGUUGCUCAAGUGGGCUAGCAAAAAGUGAUACUAAGGUUAGCAGCUUUAUAGGUUAGAUAAAUUGUACUUUUUUUGCAGAUAUUCAUUAAUUUUUUCUUCUUCUGGUACAUUUAAUUAGUGACUUUAAUAAUUAACGUUCUCUGCAUAAGGCAGCUACUUACUAUCGCCGAUAUGUUAUUUAUUCUGUUGCCUCUAAACAUAUUAAUUUGUCCUAAUCUGUUUAGUCAAAAAAAGGUCAAAAGUCAAAAAUAGCUUUAUUGUUACAUAACAUAAUAUGUUAUUAACAAACCAUUAUAUAAAACUUUAAAGAUAGUUGACAACAUGAUCUUUUACAAAAAUAUAAAUAUUUUAACAAUUCUUACAUACAUAGAAUAUAGAACCCACGCAACACAAUUAAAAUAGUAAGAAGUCACAUCACGCUACGCAAAUCUUCUCACUAUCAGAAAGUUGUAUUUAAAUGAACGAGAAUAAAAUGCUUUUGCAAGUAAAAGUUUAUAUUUUUCCUAUAAAGUUUUUCACAAUUUAUUAGCCUUAUAUAAAGGGGUAGAUGGUUAAAAAGCCUUCUGCCCCCAUACACAAUAGAGGACUUAAUCUGCUCACUUUUUCGGGUAGGCUUUUACUUUAGUAUUGCAUACAUUCGAGAAAUAAACGUGGAAAAUUCUGUGUUUUAAGUGUUUUGAAUAGUAAUAAUCCGUAUGGAUGGGCCUUUUCACAUUUUUAAUGAUCGCAGUAUGAGUUAAAGCAUCAAAACAUACGAAUAUUCAAUAGCCAUUAAAGUGACUAGUUGGGUGUAUUUCUAAUAUAUUUGUCAUAUUUAGCAGUGUAUCAACAAAACUAAUGUAGCACCACAACUUUUAGUUAUUAAGCAUUCCUUUCAAGUGCCUUGAUUUUACACCUAAAAGCCGUGGCAGAAAAUCUGUAUUGAUAAGAAAUAUAGGAUAAGUUUAGACGAAAAAAAGUGGCAAUCUUGUUAACCUUUUUUUUUUAAUUAGUUGCUUUUACUUUAGUUACCUUUGUAUAUUUUAACGUGGUAGCAAAUCUAUGACAAUACUACUGUAUUGGAAGUUUUAGAGCACUGUACAGGGUGCUUAUUUUAUAAAGAAGUUUUAUUCCACCUGUCUGUAUAUUAUGUGUCUACAAUCAAAAGUAAUUUUUUAAGCAGUAUAUCGACAACUUAUUAUGACUUUUAAUAAUGUGUGUAACGAAGUAUUAUAAAAACUACUAUAUGUGAUUAUUAUUAUUAUUAUUACAAUUAUUAUAAUUGCAACAUUUACGUUACGUUACGAUUAUUAUAGCAAUAGCGCUACAUUCUUAUUGAAGCAUUUUCCAAAUAAAUUAUUUUAAAUUA